AUUUAUUUAGUAUAUAAGUACAUUUGACUUCCAAUCAAAAAGCUUGAUUUUAUCAAAAUAAAUA
rnacentral:tRNA from 1 species